rnacentral:tRNA from 1 species
GCCUUUGUGGUGUAAUGGCAGCACACUUGGCGCAUAUCUGAGAGGUCCAGGUUCGAAUCCUGGCAAGAACA